UACGUAGGGGGCAAGCGUUGUCCGGAAUCAUUGGGCGUAAAGCGCGCGUAGGCGGCCCGGUAAGUCCGCUGUGAAAGUCAAAGGCUCAACCUUUGAAUGCCGGUGGAUACUGCCGGGCUAGAGUCCGGAAGAGGCGAGUGGAAUUCCUGGUGUAGCGGUGGAAUGCGCAGAUAUCAGGAAGAACACCGACGGCGAAGGCAGCUCGCUGGGACGGUACUGACGCUGAGGCGCGAAAGCGUGGGGAGCGAACAGG
rnacentral:rRNA from 1 species